CCUACGGGAGGCUGCAGUGGGGAAUAUUGGACAAUGGGGGCAACCCUGAUCCAGCCAUGCCGCGUGUGUGAAGAAGGCCCUCGGGUUGUAAAGCACUUUCAGUGAGGAAGAACGCCUGGUGGUUAAUACCCAUCAGGAAAGACAUCACUCACAGAAGAAGCACCGGCUAACUCCGUGCCAGCAGCCGCGGUAAUACGGAGGGUGCGAGCGUUAAUCGGGAUUACUGGGCGUAAAGCGCGCGUAGGUGGCUUGAUAAGCCGGUUGUGAAAGCCCCGGGCUCAACCUGGGAACGGCAUCCGGAACUGUCAAGCUAGAGUGCAGGAGAGGAAGGUAGAAUUCCCGGUGUAGCGGUGAAAUGCGUAGAGAUCGGGAGGAAUACCAGUGGCGAAGGCGGCCUUCUGGACUGACACUGACACUGAGGUGCGAAAGCGUGGGUAGCAAACAGGAUUAGAUACCCUAGUAGUC
rnacentral:rRNA from 1 species